UGGGGAAUAUUGCACAAUGGGCGCAAGCCUGAUGCAGCCAUGCCGCGUGUAUGAAGAAGGCCUUCGGGUUGUAAAGUACUUUUAGUCGGGAGGAAGGUGGUAAGGUUAAUAACCUUAUCAAUUGACGUUACCGACAGAAGAAGCACCGGCUAACUCCGUGCCAGCAGCCGCGGUAAUACGGAGGGUGCAAGCGUUAAUCGGAAUUACUGGGCGUAAAGCGCACGCAGGCGGUUGAUUGAGUCAGAUGUGAAAUCCCCGGGCUUAACCCGGGAAUUGCAUCUGAUACUGGUCAGCUAGAGUCUUGUAGAGGGGGGUAGAAUUCCAUGUGUAGCGGUGAAAUGCGUAGAGAUGUGGAGGAAUACCGGUGGCGAAGGCGGCCCCCUGGACAAAGACUGACGCUCAGGUGCGAAGGCGUGGGGAGCAAACAGG
rnacentral:rRNA from 1 species